rnacentral:rRNA from 1 species
GAGUUUGAUCCUGGCUCAGGACAAACGCUGGUGGUGUGCCUAAUACAUGCAAGUCGAACGAGAAAGUCCCUUCGGGGGCGAGUAAAGUGGCGAACGGGUGAGUAACGCGUAGAUAACAUACCUUCAGGUGGGGGAUAGCCAGUCGAAAGAUUGGAUAAUACCGCAUAUGACCACAGUAUCUGUGGAUACAGGGGUAAAAGAUUUAUCGCCUAAAGAUUGGUCUGCGUCCGAUUAGCUUGUUGGUGGGGUAAAAGCCUACCAAGGCUGUGAUCGGUAGCUGGUCUGAGAGGAUGAUCAGCCACAUUGGGACUGAGACACGGCCCAAACUCCUACGGGAGGCAGCAGUAGGGAAUCUUGCGCAAUGGGGGAAACCCUGACGCAGCGACACCACAUGAGUGAUGAAGGCUCUAGGGUUGUAAAGCUCUGUUCUUGACGAACAAACAAAUGAUUAGUCAAGGAGAAAGGACCGGCUAACUUCGUGCCAGCAGCUGCGGUAAGACGAGGGGUCCAAGCGUUGUCCGGAAUUAUUGGGCGUAAAGCGGGUGUAGGCGGUUUUGCAAGUCAGAAGUGAAAGCCUCAGGGCUCAACCUGAGAAAGUGCUUUUGAUACUGCAUAACUUGAGUUUGG